rnacentral:rRNA from 1 species
UGGUGGAGUGAUUCGUCUGGUUAAUUCCGUUAACGAACGAGACCUCGACCUGCUAAAUAGUCGGGCGUACUCUCGGGUACGUACUAGACUUCUUAGAGGGACUGUCGGUUUUAGCCGAAGGAAGUUCGAGGCAAUAACA